rnacentral:rRNA from 1 species
GACAGAGGCCCCAAGCGUUAGGCGGAAUCACUGGGCUUAAAGCGUGUGUAGGCGGACGCCUAGGUGUCUUGUGAAAUCCCACGGCUCACCCGUGGAACUGCUGGGCAUACUGGGCGUCUUGGGCCAACUAGGGGCAGCCGGAACAAGCGGUGGAGCGGUGAAAUGCGUAGAUAUCGCUUGGAACGCCGAAGGUGAAAACAGGCUGCUGGGGUUGUGCCGACGCUGAGACACGAAAGCCAGGGGAGCAAACGGG